rnacentral:rRNA from 1 species
GACGAACGCUGGCGGCGUGCUUAACACAUGCAAGUCGAACGAUGAAGCCGGAGCUUGCUCCGGUGGAUUAGUGGCGAACGGGUGAGUAACACGUGAGCAAUCUGCCCUUGACUCUGGGAUAACUGCGGGAAACUGUAGCUAAUACCGGAUACGACACCUUGGGGCAUCCCAGGGUGUGGAAAGAAUUUCGGUCAAGGAUGAGCUCGCGGCCUAUCAGCUAGUUGGUGAGGUAAUGGCUCACCAAGGCGACGACGGGUAGCCGGCCUGCGAGGGUGACCGGCCACACUGGAACUGAGACACGGUCCAGACGCCUACGGGAGGCAGCAGUGGGGAAUAUUGCACAAUGGGCGAAAGCCUGAUGCAGCAACGCCGCGUGAGGGAUGAAGGCCUUCGGGUUGUAAACCUCUUUUAGCAGGGAAGAAGCGAAAGUGACGGUACCUGCAGAAAAAGCACCGGCUAACUACGUGCCAGCCGCCGCAGUAA